GGAGGCAGGUGGUAAACAGGAAAUGGUUAAGUAGGAGCAGGUGGAGUGGGUGCGGUGCUGGAACAGGCAGGAAAUAGCUGAGCAGCUGAAUGGACUCACAAGAAUGCUUUGCCAACUCCCCAAGGCUGGGGCAAAGGCGCCGGCUGCCCCCUCCUCCCAGCCCUGCACAGCGAGGUGUCUGGCCUGGCAGCGCCUGGCUGGCCCCACUGUCCUCCUCGGUUCUGCCUGGGGCUGAAAGGAGCAGGCCACGGGGCUAGGAGGAGAAUGGUGGUUCCUACAGGGGCGUGAGUGACCGGCUUUGAGGGUGCAGGUUAUGAGGGGCUACAGGAGGUGGACAAGAUUGCCAAGGACCUGGAGUGCUUUUCCUCUUCUGGUUCUUUGUUCCCCAGAGGGCCCUUUGGAUUGACUGGGACCCCCCAGGAGCGGUCGGUCCCACCCUCGGUCGAGCAUGCUGCCAGCUGGCUACUGGAUGUGGGCAGGAGCUGAACACCCCAGGCUUUUUUCAGCCUCCCAUUUGUUCCUUGUAAUACAGGUGCCUCUAAGUGUGUGUGGGGGGGGCUCUCAGGAGAGACAGGAAGCCGAAGUGCAGGAAAAUGAGAAGGGCUGGGGCGUGAGCGCCUUUGAGCCUCCACACCCUCCCCUGUCCUCCCUCGGUUCCACUAUGGCUCUCACCUUUAGAUUCCUCUUGGCUUGAAGGGCUGCCCCUUGCUCUAGUAUAAAACCAGGUGCUCUUGGUCCUCAUUUGUCCCCUUCUCAGGAAAGCUUAGCUCGGGGCUGACAGCUUUGCUUCCCAGGGCAGGCGCACCUCACGCUGGCCCGUGGGUUUCCUCGCUGCGGAGCAGAAGUCUGGCCGCUCUAGCCUUGAAGUGUUGCUGACAUAUCUCUGUCUAUGAACCCCCAGCAGCCAGGCAUGAACUCCCAGCUCAGCAGCUUUACCGUGGGGGCUGUAGCCUCAUGGUUGCAUCUAGCUCCUCAGAUGGACCUGACCCUUGCUGGAGAGGGGUUGACAAGUUGUGGGAAGAAGCUGUGCUCCCAGGUUUUCUCAGGAGCAGGAGACAGCAAAGGGGUCUCACACACAAACUCUUAAUAGCAACCCCAUUUUAUUGGUUAUUUAUUUUACUCCCAUAUAGUAUGUAUUUCAGUAAGUGCAUGCAUGCAUUUAUAUAUACAUGUUUUGAAUCAUUUAAUCCCCAGUACAACCCAAAGAAGAGGUACUUUCCCACUUCAUGGACAAGAAGCUGAGGCCCAGAGAAGGGAGAUACGCUGUCCUCGUGGUAGUGAUGUAGUGGGUUCCCUUCUCUGCACUCAAGCCUGGGCAGCUUGGCCUGGAGUCUGCACUCUGACCCGGUACUGUGCUACCUGGGUGAGGAGACUUUGGAGGAGGCCAGAGGGGACCGUGUGGACAAAGGCUGGGAGGCUUGGGACGGUCAGUUUGUAAGUGGGUGGACAUCCCAUCACACCAUUGUCAAUGCCGUUUAUGAAGUAGUGAGGGUGGCACCAGCAACAUGGAAACGCACAGGAGGGACAGACCCCUAAUGGUUCCAGAGAGCUACUUGGUUAAAGAGCAGUUUCUUGAGGGCUUUGGUGAUCACUGCACAGACUCCUCUCUCAACACCUAAGCCCACAUUCCUAGCCACUGGACACAUGGACCUGCCUAACAUGACUGCCUCCAAGCUUUUGUACCUGCUGUGCCCUCUGUCUCUGCUAAGCUCCAUGUAUCUUUCAAGCUGAGACUCCCCUGCCUACAGUCUGGAUCCUCAUGGAAAGAGCUGAGCCAUGAUUAUGCAUAUUCCCAGCCUGGCACUGUAACAACUGCAGGCCCUGUAUCUAAUCCCCUAACACUCAGGCAGCACUCAAAGGUCCUGAGUGCCUGAAGGAGCUGGCUGGCAUCAGGAAACUCCAGAAAGAAGGAAGAAGGAAUGCAGAAGGAAUGGAAAAGUUUUCCCAGGCUUCACAUGCAGACAGAGGUUGUGUCUAUAUUGUUUGCCAGUGAAUUCCCAAGGCUUUGUGUGGCAGGCAGACAGAGGUUUGGAUUAAUGUAGUCAUUGCUGUACACCAAGGUUCGGGUUAGUGACAGCCCACAUACUAGACAGUGGCCCCAUAAGAUCAUGCUGGAGGUAAAAAAUUUCUGUCACCUAAUGACAUUAUAGUCAUUGUAAAAUGUAGUGCAUACAACAUAUUACUCACGUUUGUGAUGCUGGUCUAAACAAACCUACUAUGCAGCCAGUCAUGUAACUACACAACUACAUAUAGUACAUAACACUUGAUAAUGCAAAUAAAUGACUGUGC
ensembl:lncRNA